ACUCAGACAUGUUGGCUUUUUAUUUGUUUCACUCUCUGUGGAAAGAAAACAGGAGGAGACCGUUUAAUUUAAUUCAAGCAUGUCAGAUCUUUUGGCACACAGCUUCAUUGUAGGAGCUGCUGAAGUGAGAAAACUCUCAAACUGUCAUCUUUAUAAGUAGUUAAAGAAAAAAAAAGGACAAAACACAGCUUUAAGGGUAUUCAAUCGCCUGAGCAAAUUUACAAGAUAGCAGCAACAUGUUCUCUGCAUAAGAAAGAACACUUUCAGUUUUUUUGAACAGCAGUAAGGCAUGCAAGGCUGGGGAACAUGUCUGAAACACUGUCGCCAAGGCGAUGGGGGCUGCACUCACCAUACACCAUUAAAUAUGAGAAAUCUCCAUCUCGCUUUCCACUGGUAUCUAAGCACAACCUGCCUCACAAUGAAUGCUACUGCAGCUCCUGUUUCAUGGUAUUUUGGAAGCAAGCCCAUCAUCACACUCAGGUAAAAAUGGUAGGCAAAUGGGAUUAAAUAAAAGAAAAAUUAGGAAACUGAUCAUCUGGCACCCAGGGAAUCUCACGAGAAAAGCUUACAGAAUGACACAUUAUAUUGUGAAUGCACCACCAACCUGUUUCAUUAUUACUUUGUUUACUUUGUUUAUCAAAUAAGUUAUACAUGUAUAACUUAUUUCACACAGCAUUAUUGUGAUUAUUUAAACUACAAUAUGUUAUGUUAAUUAUGAAAGACAGAAAUGGGUUCAUAUUUUUGGUCAUUAACAAUAAUUCUGAACUUCAUUUCAUGAUAGAUCAAGUCAGUAUCAGUAUAUUGCUAUCAUUUGUAUCUAUCAUAUGUUUUUGGUUUUGAUUUGAUUGAUGGCAAUCAAAAAAUCUGAGUACAAAUUGUCUUGACGUAAAGAGUUGUCUUGAAUUUACAGAAGAGAAGUUAGUAAUGGUAAUAGUUAAUUAAUAUUAAAUUUUAAAAAUUGUUUUGUUUUAUCACUACAUAAAACAAAGAUGUUCCAAAGAUGUACACACUCAAACACACACAGGCAGAUCCCUGACACACACGGAACUCAGAACAGUUCCUCACCUCAAGUGAAUAAACAUGCUAUAAU